rnacentral:ncRNA from 1 species
AUCCCCGUGAAAAUGCCCUUAUCCCCUACUUGGAGGUAAGGAGCUGGUAUCAGGCACAACAUCCGCCCACAACACCUAGCUACGCCACACCCACAAGGGCACUCAGCAGUGAUUAACAUUGAGCAUAAACGUCAGUUCGACUCAGUUAAAGCAAUCAGGGCCGGCAAAUCCGGUGCCAGCCGCCGCGGAUACACCGUAAGGCCCAAAUUGAUCCACAUCGGCGUAAAGCGUGAUUUAAGAUACACCUAAUUAAGGCUAAAUUAAAGCUAGGCCGUAAAAAGUUCGCUAUAUGAAGAUCAAAACGAAAGCUGCCUUAACUACCCCCACUUGAACCCACGACAACUAGGGCACAAACUGGGAUUAGAUACCCCACUAUGCCUAAUCGUAAACUUUAACUUACACCCUUCCCCGCCAGAGAACUACAAGCAAAGCUUCAAACUCAAGGGACUUGACGGCACUCCACACCCUCCUAGAGGAGCCUGUCCUAUAAUCGAUACUCCCCGAUCAACCUCUCCACUUUUAGCCUUUCAGCCUGUAUACUUCCGUCGUCAGCUUACCCCGUGAGGGCUUCCAGUAAGCUCAAUGUCCAUCACAAAACGCCAGGUCAAAGUGCAGCUCAUAGAGUGGAAAGAGAUGGGCUACACUUUCUAAAAUAGAAGAAACGAAAAACACUUUGAAAUUGUGUUUGAAGGUGGAUUUAGCAGUAAAAAGAAAACACGAAUGUUCUCUUUAAGCCGGCAAUGGAAUGUGUACACACCGCCCGUCACCCUCUUCAAAGCACACCCCAUUAGUUCAUAACAACCUUUGCUAUACAGAAGAGGCAAGUC